UAUUAGACGGCCUUUCAGAGCUAAAGGA
rnacentral:piRNA from 1 species